GAUGAACGCUGGCGGCGUGCCUAAUACAUGCAAGUCGAGCGGACAGACGAGGAUCUUGCGCCGCUGACGUUAGCGGCGGGCGGGUGAGUAACACGAGUAUAACCUACCUAUAAGACUGGGAUAACUUCGGGACAGCGGAUAUAAUACCGGAUAAUAUAUUGAACCUCAUGGUUCAUUAGUGAAAGACGGUGUUGGUGGCACUUCUAGCGGGUUCCGCGCCGCUUGGGCUAGUUGGUAAGGUAACGGCUUACCAAGGCAACUAUGCGUAGCCGACCUGAGAGGGUGAUAGGCCACACUGGAACUGAGACACGGUCCAGACUCCUACGGGAGGCAGCAGUAGGGAAUCUUAGGCAAUGGGCGAAAGCCUGACGCAGCGACGCCGCGUGUGUGAUGAAGGUCUUCGGAUCGUAAAACCCUGUUAUUAGGGAAGAACAAAUGUGUAAUGAAAUAUGGAGGUCUUGACGGUACCUAAUCAGAAAGCAACGGCUAACUACGUG
rnacentral:rRNA from 1 species